AGGUAGGAGAAGAGUUGGCAAAUCCGCUCUUUAAUCUGAAGACUGAUGUGGACUGAAAAUAAGUAGGGAAGCACGUGAGCUGACUGUCAAGAAAAGCCGCUAUUGUUUGCAGGAUACCCGUACCGUAAACCGACACAGGUGGAUGAGGAGAGAAUCCUAAGGCCGACGGGAGAAGCAUUGUUAAGGAACUCGGCAAAAUGACUCCGUAACUUCGGGAGAAGGAGUGCCAGUAAGAUGGCCGCAGAGAAUUGGCCCAAGCAACUGUUUAGCUAAAACACAGGUCUAUGCAAAACCGAAAGGUGAGGUAUAUGGGCUGACGCCUGCCCGGUGCUGGAAGGUUAAGGGAAGAGGUUAGCGCAAGCGAAGCUUUGAACUUAAGCCCCAGUAAACGGCGGCCGUAACGAUAACGGUCCUAAGGUAGCGAAAUUCCUUGUCGGGUAAGUUCCGACCCGCACGAAAGGCGUAAUGAUUCGGGCACUGUCUCAACAAUGCACCCGGUGAAAUUGAAAUACCAGUGAAGAUGCUGGUUACCUGCGCCAGGACGGAAAGACCCCAUGGAGCUUUACUCCAGCUUGAUACUGGGAUUCGGUAUUGCAUGUACAGGAUAGGUGGGAGGCUAGGAAAUGGUAACGCCAGUUGCCAUGGAGCCAAUGUUGGGAUACCACCCUUGCAGUACUGGGUUUCUAACCAGCAGCCGUGAUCCGGCUGGGGGACAGUGUCAGGUGGGGAGUUUGACUGGGGCGGUCGCCUCCGAAAGGGUAUCGGAGGCGCUCAAAGGUUCCCUCAGAAUGGUUGGAAACCAUUCGAAGAGUGCAAAGGCAGAAGGGAGCUUGACUGCGACACCGACGGGUGGAGCAGGUACGAAAGUAGGACUUAGUGAUCCGGUGGUAUAAAGUGGGAUUGCCAUCGCUCAACGGAUAAAAGCUACCCUGGGGAUAACAGGCUUAUCACUCCCAAGAGUUCACAUCGACGGAGUGGUUUGGCACCUUGAUGUCGGCUCAUCGCAUCCUGGGGCUGAAGUAGGUCCCAAGGGUUGGGCUGUUCGCCCAUUAAGGCGGUACGCGAGCUGGGUUCAGAACGUCGUGAGACAGUUCGGUCCCUAUCCGGCGUGGGCGUAAGAUAUUUGAGAGGAGCUGUCCUUAGUACGAGAGGACCGGGAUGGACUGGCCGCUGGUGUAUCUGUUGUCUUACCAAAGGCAUAGCAGAGUAGCCAAGCCGGGAAGGGAUAAACGCUGAAGGCAUCUAAGCGUGAAGCCCCCCUCAAGAUGAGAUAUCUCAUAACGUCAAGUUAGUAAGACCCCUUGAAGACGACGAGGUAGAUAGGGCAGAGGUGGAAGUGUGGUAACACAUGGAGCUGACUGUUACUAAUAGGUCGAGGGCAUAACC
rnacentral:rRNA from 1 species